rnacentral:rRNA from 1 species
AUUGAACGCUGGCGGCAUGCCUUACACGUGCAAGUCGAACGGCAGCACGGGUGCUUGCACCUGGUGGCGAGUGGCGAACGGGUGAGUAAUACAUCGGAACGUACCUUAUCGUGGGGGAUAACAAAUUGAAAAAUUUGCUAAUACCGCAUAAUACUCUAAGGAGGAAAGCGGGGGAUUCGUAAGAACCUCGGGCGAUUAGAGCGGCCGAUGGCUGAUUAGCUAGUUGGUGAGGUAAAGGCCCACCAAGGCAACGAUCAGUAGCAGGUCUGAGAGGAUGAUCUGCCACACUGGAACUGAGAAACGGUCCAGACUCCUACGGGAGGCAGCAGUAGGGAAUUUUGGACAAUGGACGAAAGUCUGAUCCAGCAAUGCCGCGUGAGUGAAGAAGGCCUUCGGGUUGUAAAGCUCUUUUGUCAGUGAAGAAAACUUUAAUAAUAACACUAUUAAAGCAUGACGGUAACUGAAGAAUAAGGACCGGCUAACUACGUGCCAGCCGCCGCGGUAA